UACGUAGGUGGCAAGCGUUGUCCGGAUUUACUGGGCGUAAAGCGCGCGCAGGCGGCUCGCUACAUCCUAAGUGAAAUCUCUCGGCUCAACCGAGAGAGGUCUUCGGAGAUGGGCGAGCUUGAGGGGAGCAGAGGAGAGUAGAAUUCCCGGUGUAGCGGUGAUAUGCGUAGAUAUCGGGAGGAAUACCAGUGGCGAAGGCGGCUCUCUGGGCUCUCCCUGACGCUGAGGCGCGAAAGCGUGGGGAGCAAACCGG
rnacentral:rRNA from 1 species